rnacentral:rRNA from 1 species
UACGUAGGGGGCAAGCGUUGUUCGGAUUCAUUGGGCGUAAAGGGUGUGUAGGUGGCGCCGUAAGUCGGGUGUGAAAUUUCGGAGCUUAACUCCGAAACUGCAUUCGAUACUGCGGUGCUUGAGGACUGGAGAGGAGACUGGAAUUCAUGGUGUAGCAGUGAAAUGCGUAGAGAUCAUGAGGAAGACCAGUGGCGAAGGCGGGUCUCUGGACAGUUCCUGACGCUGAGACACGAAGGCCAGGGGAGCAAACGGG